rnacentral:rRNA from 1 species
UACGGAGGGGGCUAGCGUUGUUCGGAAUUACUGGGCGUAAAGCGCACGUAGGUGGCUUUGUAAGUUAGAGGUGAAAGCCCGGGGCUCAACUCCGGAAUUGCCUUUAAGACUGCAUCGCUAGAACGGCGGAGAGGUAAGUGGAAUUCCGAGUGUAGAGGUGAAAUUCGUAGAUAUUCGGAAGAACACCAGUGGCGAAGGCGACUUACUGGACGACUGUUGACACUGAGGUGCGAAAGCGUGGGGAGCAAACAGG